GGAGAGGUGUCUGAGCGGUUGAAAGAGCACGCUUGGAAAGCGUGUAGCUACCCUAAAGGUGGCUCCCGGGUUCGAAUCCCGGCCUCUCCG
rnacentral:tRNA from 1 species